rnacentral:pre_miRNA from 13 species
GGCUAACUUGCACCAGUUCUUCAGUGGCAAGCUUUAAGUCCCUGUCUAGCAGCUAAAGCUGCCAGUUGAAGAACUGUUGAAUGUAGCC